rnacentral:rRNA from 1 species
CAGUCGCCACGGGAAUACGUAGGGUCCGAGCGUUGUCCGGAAUUAUUGGGCGUAAAGGGCUCGUAGGCGGUUUGUUGCGUCGGGAGUGAAAACCUACAGCUUAACUGUGGGCUUGCUUUCGAUACGGGCAGACUUGAGGCAUUCAGGGGAGAACGGAAUUCCUGGUGUAGCGGUGAAAUGCGCAGAUAUCAGGAGGAACACCGGUGGCGAAGGCGGUUCUCUGGGAAUGUUCUGACGCUGAGGAGCGAAAGUGUGGGGAGCGAACAGGAUUAGAUACCCCCGUAGUCCCUGUCUCUUAUAC